rnacentral:rRNA from 1 species
GGCGAUUGGGCCGAGUUUGAUCAUGGCUCAGAGCGAACGCUGGCGGCAGGCUUAACACAUGCAAGUCGAGCGGGCGUAGCAAUACGUCAGCGGCAGACGGGUGAGUAACGCGUGGGAACGUACCUUUUGGUUCGGAACAACCCAGGGAAACUUGGGCUAAUACCGGAUAAGCCCUUACGGGGAAAGAUUUAUCGCCGAAAGAUCGGCCCGCGUCUGAUUAGCUAGUUGGUAGGGUAACGGCCUACCAAGGCGACGAUCAGUAGCUGGUCUGAGAGGAUGAUCAGCCACAUUGGGACUGAGACACGGCCCAAACUCCUACGGGAGGCAGCAGUGGGGAAUAUUGGACAAUGGGCGCAAGCCUGAUCCAGCCAUGCCGCGUGAGUGAUGAAGGCCCUAGGGUUGUAAAGCUCUUUUGUGCGGGAAGAUAAUGACGGUACCGCAAGAAUAAGCCCCGGCUAACUUCGUGCCAGCAGCCGCGGUAAU